rnacentral:lncRNA from 1 species
CUGGGGUUUACUGCACCUGACCAAUCAGUGGAACACUUCAUGCUGCCCAGGAAUCCUGUGCAUCCUGACCUUGGGCCAUUUCCCUGAGCAAACUGCGUGGCGAGAUGCACGGCCUGAGCCCUGGGGCCACCCCUAGGUGCAGUGCGGUAGGUCUCCACUUUCGUCUGGCAUCACCGUGCUGAGUGGAGCCUUCCCAUGGACCAGAUCCAGACCUUCCCCUCCCCUGUCAGCUGGUUUAGAGGUCGCACCCCAUGCCCAGUGAGUUCAUAGGUGUGAGUCGAGGGAGGUGCGCUGACUCAGUGUCAGACUGUGACGGUCGUGUUUGGCUCACCACUUUGUACAGCUUGCCUGUGUUUAAUACCCUUUUGUGUCUGACCCUGGAUGCCCGCAGCAUGAUGUGUGGCUAGUACCCAACUUGCCUGACUUGCUGCCUCAGAGAACACCCAGUGUGGUUAGGCAGCUUGUGUGGCAGUCACCCGAUGCUCCCUGAUCAGAGGCCGAGUUUCUGCAUGGCUCACGUUGCAGGAGCUGAUUUUUGAAUAAAGGGUGUUUGUUUGCAGCAGACAGCAUGGCUCGUUGCACACCUUAGGAGCCUGUGCUGUAGCUCCUGGUGGGACUGUGCUGCUGUGAAAUACCACGGAUACAGCUGGCAUCCUGGGAUCUGCUGAACCAACUGGCAGAGACGACUGCCCCAUCUCCUGGGACUCUGGCAGAGCAUUCUCCUACUCCAGAUCCUACUUAAAAAUCACUUGUCAAGUGGACCAGAGCAGCAUUCUGAGUGCAGCACAUGCUGCUUCAGAACCUGAAAAGGCUUUCCGAGCACGGUGCUUAUGUUAGUGGUUGAAGGCGUGAGGUGUGCAAACGUACCUGAGACCGCUGGGCCAGUGUGACGGACCCUGGGAUCUUGGUGGUUUAUCUUCCGUCUUCUUCAGGACAGCUGUGGACUAUCGUGAUGUUUUGUGAGAUGUCCAGAUGUUCAAGGUUCCCUUGGACUGUAGUGUGACGGAGAACAGGAGAACUGACCCGGCCUUUGGGGAAAGACUGUGGAUGUGCGCUGUCAUCUGCCCAGUUCAGUCGCUCAGUCAUGUCCGGCUCUGUGAGCCCAUGUCGUCUACCCACCCCAGACCCCAGGCGUCUUCUGGAAGAGAGAUGUGUGGAGACAGCAGUCUCCUCUCCCGUCCCCAGCUCUGCUGUAGGCUCAUCCCGAGUCUUCUUGGCGUCUCAGUUUCCCAUCCAGGCGACCUGAGGCUUUAUCUGGCUCACCGCACUCAAGGGGAUUCCGAAGCAGUGAAUCAGGCAGACUGUCUCACGGACGAGGGAAGGAACCCUGAGGAAGUCCCACUCCUUGCUUUAGCUCCUGGCUACACACUGGUGGCUCAGAUGGUAAAGCAUCUGCCUACAAUGCGGGAGACCUGGGUUCAAUCCCUGGGUCAGGAAGAUCUCCUGGAAAAGGAAAUGGCAACCCACUCCAGUAUUCUUGCCUGGAAAAUUCCAUGGACAGAGAAGCCUGGUAGUCUACAGUCCAUGGGGUCGCAAAGAGUCGGACACGACUGAGCAACUUCACUUCACACACUGAGCCCAGCGUGUUUGAUUCUGUGGGUGGCAGGUGCCCAGUGUGGCUGAUUACAGACUCUGCUCCUGAAUGUCCUGCUGUCUGCUACCCCCUCACUGAAGAAGGGAGGAAAAGUGUGCCCUCAGGAGCUGACCUGGUGAUGGAUGUUGGCAAGGCUCUAAGUCUGGACUUUGGAAGAGAAGUUCUCUUUGUCAGAAACCUUCAACAAAGUGGUCUUGAAGUGAUCAGGGAAGGCUGCCUGAAGGAGGCAGAGUUGGAGGUGAGGCUGAAGGGGAGCAGGAUUUGCACUGGAAUAGAGAGAAGAAGAGAGGAACAAGGGCUGAGUGACAGGGAGAGGGUCCUGAGGAGAUCCUGGCUCGGAAAUGAGGCAAGGAGCUUAGAGGGUACUGGCCAGCUGGAUGGAAGGAAGGUAUAUGGGUGCCAGGGAGUGGUCUGGGUGAGGUGCACACACUAGGGAGUUUCCAGAGUGCAUACAGAUUGCUUUUUCCCUUCUGGCUAAGGAAAAUUUCACAUCUAACCUAUUUUCACAUGAGUUAUAUCUAUAUCUAUAUCUAUAUCUAUGUAUAUGUCGGAGAAGGCAAUGGCACCCCACUCCAGUACUCUUGCCUGGAAAAUCCCAUGGAUGGAGGAGCCUGGUGGGCUGCCAUCCAUGGGGUUGCUAAGAGUCGGACACGAUUGAGCAAUUUCACUUUCAUGCAUUGGAGAAGGAAAUGGCCACCCACUCCAGUGUUCUUGCCUGGAGAAUCCCAGGGAUGGCGGAGCCUGGUGGGCUGCUGUCUAUGGGGUCGUACAGAGUCAGACACGACUGAAGUGGCUUAGCAGUAGCAUAUGUAUAUGUAUAUAUGUCUAUGUACAUACAUAUAUUUUAAAUUCAUGCUCACAUGAUAACUUCAAAUAGCACAAAGGGUCAGUGAAAUAUAGGUCUCCAUCUCCUCCCUGUCUCCAUCCCCAGUUCGUGCCUCAGAGACAACCACUGUCGCCACCUGUGCAGCUUCCUGGGGUGCUGUAUGCCAAGAGCUCCCUUACACACUUGGGACCACUGCUUUGCACUGCGUUUGUCCCCUUGGCCUGUGUCUUGCAGAGAGCUCCACCCGGUGUGUCUGCAUCCACGCCCAGGGCUGCCUGCGCAGGGCAUGGAGAGGAACGCUUGCUCUGGAGUCGGCAGAGCGGGGUGAGCUGCUGGCGGCGGCCUGGGCAAGUUGCUUGGCCUCAGUGUCCCCGCCUGUAAAACCAGGAGGACGAUGGCCCCUCCUCACAGCUGUUGUGAGGAUGAACUGAACGUGUCUAAAGCUCAGGUACAGAGCCAGGCACCAAGAACUCCUCAUGGCUGGGGGCUGUUGGCACUCACAGAGAGAACGCAGGCCAUGGGCCUGCUGCCUUCUCCCCACCUUCUCGAGACAGAAACAGCCUGUCCGUGUGUCUGUCCUGCAACUGGCCCUGCCCCCUGGCCCCUUCUCUCUGGGACGUGUUCUACCAUCACUGCCCCCCAGCUCCCUCAGGAUCUUUCUGGCACCUGGGGAGUGAAAUGCCAGUUAAAUGUUGUCCAGGCCUUUCUCUGUUUAUUUAGACUCUCAAAUUGGACGCUUUUAAAGCAAGAUCCAGACAGCGAGCUGGGAAGGCAUUUUGGGCUCCAUGCAAGCGGGUUUCCCUCCCACCACUCAGCUGGCCGCGUGGUCAACGGCUUUGUGCAGAAACAGCCUCAUGCUGGGGUCCCGUGCAGAGAUGAAAAUUAAGGGAUAAAUAUACAGGUUUAAUAAUAUUCUGUCAUUUUGAUAGUCUCUGCUGCUUGUCUGUGAUAUUUUAAAUCCACUUUGCCUGCUUCGAACAUUAAGAACUUCUGAUGAAGUUUUACCAGGAAGAUAUUACCUUUGUGUAAUGGCUUUGUACUAUGUCUGUGAUUCUAAACACAAAUUUAUUUGCUUUUAUCACUUUGACUAAAGAGAGAGAAAAUGAACCAUUAGAAAAAAGGCUUCCAUAACCCCCCCUCCGCACACACCCCCUUUAAUUUUCUCCUGGAAGCAGCAGUUCCCUUCUCUUUUAUCUUUCCAUUCUGAGCGCGCAGGCACAGCUCUAUUAUCUGUUCCAGUGCUGCCUUUGAGGUUAAUAUUUCAGCUCAGUCCUUCCUUUAGCUGUGGGGAUGAAUUAAAUUAGUGCCAGCAGAAGGAGUGAAUUAAAUAAACUGUAAAAUAAUGCCCAGUUUCCCUGUGUUCCUUUUGCUAUUCUGGUACCCCAGUUAAUUUUUUAAAAUGAAUUCUAUUGGGAUCUGCAAAUAGUUGACUUUAUCUACUGAAAAAUAGAAAUUCAGACUGCUCAGAUUGUUGUCCAAAGUGUGUUCAUUCAUUCAUUCAGUAACCAUCUUGCAACCCCUAGAGGGCAUCUUAUCUGAAAAUUGAGGUUGCCUGAGAGAGGAGUCCAGAAAAAAAGGUCAAGUUCUGAUGAUACUGCUCCAGCCCUUGGAUCCAGCUAUGCCUGAAGUCCUACCCUGGGGCAUUUUGGAGGUAAAAAUCUCUUUUUUGUUUGCCAGUUUGUUUAAACUGCCCGUAUCUUGGAAUCAA